GACGAACGCUGGCGGCGUGCUUAACACAUGCAAGUCGAACGGAAAGGCCCUGCUUGCAGGGUACUCGAGUGGCGAACGGGUGAGUAACACGUGGGUGAUCUGCCCUGCACUUCGGGAUAAGCCUGUGUAACUGGGUCUAAUCCCGGCUAGGAGCCAUUUUUUUUGUGAUGGUUGUAAAGUUUUUUCGGUGUAGGAUGCGCUCGCGGCCUAUCAGCUUGUUGGUGGGGUAAUGGCCUACCAAGGCGGCGACGAGUAGCCGGCCUGAGAGGGUGGACGGCCACAUUGGGACUGAGAUACGGCCCAGACGCCUACGGGAGGCAGCAGUGGGGAAUAGUGCAAAAUGGGCGCAAGCCGGAUGCAGCGACGCCGGGUGGGGGAUGACGGCCUUCGGGUUGUAAACUCCUUGCGCUAGGGACGAAGCUUUUGUGACGGUACCUAGAUAAGAAGCACCGGCUAACUACGUG
rnacentral:rRNA from 1 species